rnacentral:rRNA from 1 species
GCAGUCGCACGAGAACGUUCACCUUCGGGUGAAUCAGUAAAGUGGCGCACGGGUGAGUAACGCGUGGAUAAUCUGCCUUCAAGACGGGAAUAACAUUGCGAAAGCGAUGCUAAUACCGGAUAAGCUCACGAUUUGAUUGGUUGUGGGAAAAGAUGGCCUAGUCUAUGCUAUCGCUUGAAGAUGAGUCCGCGUACCAUUAGCUUGUUGGUAGGGUAAUGGCCUACCAAGGCAGCGAUGGUUAGCUGGCCUGAGAGGGCGGCCAGCCACACUGGGACUGAGACACGGCCCAGACUCCUACGGGAGGCAGCAGUGGGGAAUAUUGCGCAAUGGGGGAAACCCUGACGCAGCGACGCCGUGUGAGUGAUGAAGGUUUUCGGAUCGUAAAGCUCUGCCAGGUGGGAAGAAUAAGGUCUGUGAAAAUAUUGCAGUCCGAUGACGGUACCACCAGAGGAAGCACCGGCUAACUCCGUGCCAGCAGCCGCGGUAAUACGGAGGGUGCAAGCGUUGUUCGGAAUUAUUGGGCGUAAAGGGCGUGCAGGCGGGUAUGCAGGUCAGGUGUGAAAUCCCUCGGCUCAACCGAGGAAGUGCAUCUGAAACCGUGUAUCUUGAGUACGAGAGAGGCAGAUGGAAUUCCCAGUGUAAAG